rnacentral:misc_RNA from 1 species
GAUGAAGAACGCAGCGAAAUGCGAUAAGUAAUGUGAAUUGCAGAAUUCAGUGAAUCAUCGAAUCUUUGAACGCACAUUGCGCCCGCCAGCACUCUGGCGGGCAUGCCUGUUCGAGCGUCAUUUCAACCAUCAAGCCCCCAGGGGCUUGUGCUGGGGCCCUGCGGCUGCCCGCAGGCCCUGAAAACCAGUGGCGGGCUCGCUAGUCACACCGAGCGCAGUAGCACAUCUCGCUCAGGGCGUGCGGCGGUCUCCUGCCGUGAAACCCCCCACUGUAACCCCAAAGGUUGACCUCGGAUCAGGUAGGAAUACCCGCUGAACUUAAGCAUAUCAAUAAGCGGAGGA